rnacentral:rRNA from 1 species
UACGUAGGGAGCGAGCGUUGUCCGGAUUUAUUGGGCGUAAAGAGCUCGUAGGCGGUUUGGUAAGUCGGGUGUGAAAGCUCCGGGCUCAACUCGGAGAGGUCACUCGAUACUGCCAUGACUGGAGUCCGGUAGGGGGGUGUGGAAUUCCCAGUGUAGCGGUGAAAUGCGCAGAUAUUGGGAGGAACACCAAUGGCGAAGGCAGCACCCUGGGCCGGUACUGACGCUGAGGAGCGAAAGCUAGGGGAGCAAACGGG